rnacentral:rRNA from 1 species
AGCGUGGAGACAGGUGGUGCAUGGCUGUCGUCAGCUCGUGUCGUGAGAUGUUGGGUUAAGUCCCGCAACGAGCGCAACCCUCACCCCUUGUUGCCACCGGGUAACGCCGAGCACUCUAGGGGAACUGCUAGCGUCAAGCUGGAGGAAGGCGGGGAUGACGUCAAGUCAUCAUGCCCCUUACGCCCUGGGCUACACACGUGCUACAAUGGCCGGUACAAAGGGAUGCAAGACCGCGAGGUGGAGCUAACCCCAAAAAACCGGUCUAAGUUCAGAUUGCAGUCUGCAACUCGGCUGCAUGAAGGAGGAAUCGCUAGUAAUCGCGCAUCAGCACGGUGCGGUGAAUACGUUCCCGGGCCUUGUACACACCGCCCGUCACACCACGAAAGCCGGCUGUACUCGAAGUCGCUGAG